rnacentral:rRNA from 1 species
UACGUAGGGUGCAAGCGUUAAUCGGAAUUACUGGGCGUAAAGCGUGCGCAGGCGGUUUUGUAAGACAGAGGUGAAAUCCCCGGGCUCAACCUGGGAACUGCCUUUGUGACUGCAAGGCUUGAGUGCGGCAGAGGGGGAUGGAAUUCCGCGUGUAGCAGUGAAAUGCGUAGAGAUCCGGAGGAACACCAGAGGCGAAGGCGGCCUACUGGGCUGCACCUGACGCUGAGCCGCGAAAGCCAGGGGAGCGAACGGG